rnacentral:rRNA from 1 species
AUGAAUAAAGGUGCCUAACUACCUAAUGGCACCAGAUUGGCAUUUGAACUUUGAUGCUAAACAGUGUUAGGCUUGGUUAGUACUUGGAUGGGAGACCAUCAACAAAUACCAGGCUCUAUACGUU